rnacentral:ncRNA from 1 species
AUAAAGUUUUAUUUUAGCUUAAAAAUUUAUUAUUAAUAUAAUUUACAUGCAAAUUUUUGAAAGAAUUUAUAUUUAUUUAAAUAAUAAAUAUAAAAUUAAUAUUCGCAGUAAAUAAUAUUAUUAAUUAAAGAAAUUUAGAAAUAGUAAUAUUAAAUAGUAUUGACUAAAUUUGUGCCAGCAGUCGCGGUUAUACGAAUAAUGCAAUUAAAUUUGUAUAAUAUAUAGUUAAAUUAUAUUUUAUAAAAUAAAAAUAAAUUUAUAAGGUGAAAUUUUAUAUUUAUAAAGUAUUUUUAUUAAAUAAUCGACACUUAAAAAUUUUAUUUGUAAACUAGGACUAGAUACCCUAUUAUUUAAAAUGUAAAAAUAAAAAUUAAGGUAGUAGUAGUUAUGAUCUUGAAACUUAAAAAAUUUGGCGAUAUUUUAGUCUAUUCAGAGGAACCUGUUCUAUAAUCGAUAAUCCACGAUGGACCUUACUUAAAUUUGUAUUCAGUUUAUAUACCGUCGUUAUUAGAAUAUUUUAUAAGAAUGAUAAUUUUCAUAAUUUUUUAUUAAAAAAUAUAUCAGAUCAAGGUGUAGCUAAUAUUUAAGAAGAAAUGGGUUACAAUAAAUUUAUUUAUACGAAUAAAAAUAUGCAAAGUUUUUUAAAGGUGGAUUUGAUAGUAAAAUUAUAAAGAUUAAUAAUUUGAUUUUAGCUCUAAAAUAUGCACACAUCGCCCGUCACUCUUAUUAUUAAGGUAAGAUAAGUCGUAACAUAGUAGAUGUACCGGAAGGUGUAUCUAGAAUG